AGAGAGAGAGACAGCGCUCUAAAUCAUGAAAAGCACUAAAAAUAUUACUAAGUUCACAAUCAUAUAUGUAUAUGUAUAUAUAUAUUUAGGUUGAUGUUGAUAUUUUGUUGCACUUAAUUUUACUAUCCUUUUCUUGUUUGGUUUCAGUGCUAAAUGAUAUUUGUUUGUGCUGAUUUUCCCCUUUUUACAAGCUCCAGAAGAUAUGCUUCCUCCAAAUGCUAGCAGUACAUUGUAUGUAGAGGGUUUGCCUGAGGACUGUACAACAAGAGAGGUGGCACACAUAUUCCGCCAUUUUGGAGGUUACAAAGAAGUUAGGCUCGUACCAGAACCAUCAAUAUAUCCUGGAGUCAACACCUUGAUUCAUUGCUUUGU